ACUUGGGUGGCUCAUUCGGUUGAGCACCUGACUUCAGCUCAGGUCAUGAUCUCAGUUUGUGGGUUCAGGCCCUGCCUCGGGCU
rnacentral:tRNA from 1 species